AUUGAACGCUGGCGGCAGGCCUAACACAUGCAAGUCGAGCGGUAACAGAAAGAAAGCUUGCUUUCUUUGCUGACGAGCGGCGGACGGGUGAGUAAUGCCUAGGAAAUUGCCCUGAUGUGGGGGAUAACCAUUGGAAACGAUGGCUAAUACCGCAUAAUCUCUUCGGAGCAAAGAGGGGGACCUUCGGGCCUCUCGCGUCAGGAUAUGCCUAGGUGGGAUUAGCUAGUUGGUGAGGUAAUGGCUCACCAAGGCGACGAUCCCUAGCUGGUCUGAGAGGAUGAUCAGCCACACUGGAACUGAGACACGGUCCAGACUCCUACGGGAGGCAGCAGUGGGGAAUAUUGCACAAUGGGCGCAAGCCUGAUGCAGCCAUGCCGCGUGUAUGAAGAAGGCCUUCGGGUUGUAAAGUACUUUCAGUCGUGAGGAAGGCAUCAACGUUAAUAGCGUUGGUGUUUGACGUUAGCGACAGAAGAAGC
rnacentral:rRNA from 1 species